GGUCAGCUGACACAUUCCUGCCAAUCUCCGGCAGACCCUCCCUCCCAGACCCUCCCACCUCCUGGACAGCAUCCAUGUUGAAGCUGCCUUCAACAUGGAUGCUGUCCAGGAAGUAGGAGGGUCUGGGAGGGAGGGUCUGCCGGAGAUUGGCAGGGUCACUCCAGUG